rnacentral:rRNA from 1 species
GAAGAACGCUGGCGGCGUGCCUAAUACAUGCAAGUCGAGCGAACAGAUGAGGAGCUUGCUCCUCUGACGUUAGCGGCGGACGGGUGAGUAACACGUGGAUAACCUACCUAUAAGACUGGGAUAACUUCGGGAAACCGGAGCUAAUACCGGAUAAUAUAUUGAACCGCAUGGUUCAAUAGUGAAAGACGGUUUUGCUGUCACUUAUAGAUGGAUCCGCGCCGCAUUAGCUAGUUGGUAAGGUAACGGCUUACCAAGGCAACGGUGCGUAGCCGACCUGAGAGGGUGAUCGGCCACACUGGAACUGAGACACGGUCCAGACUCCUACGGGAGGCAGCAGUAGGGAAUCUUCCGCAAUGGGCGAAAGCCUGACGGAGCAACGCCGCGUGAGUGAUGAAGGUCUUCGGAUCGUAAAACUCUGUUAUUAGGGAAGAACAAAUGUGUAAGUAACUAUGCACGUCUUGACGGUACCUAAUCAGAAAGCCACGGCUAACUACGUG